UACGGAGGGUGCAAGCGUUAUUCGGAAUUACUGGGCGUAAAGCGCACGUAGGCGGCCUUGUAAGUCAGGGGUGAAAUCCCACGGCUCAACCGUGGAACUGCCUUUGAAACUGCAGGGCUUGAAUCCUGGAGAGGGUGGCGGAAUUCCUGGUGUAGGAGUGAAAUCCGUAGAGAUCAGGAGGAACACCGGUGGCGAAGGCGGCCACCUGGACAGGUAUUGACGAUGAGGUGCGAAAGUGUGGGGAGCAAACAGG
rnacentral:rRNA from 1 species